rnacentral:rRNA from 1 species
UACGUAGGGGGCGAGCGUUGUCCGGAAUCAUUGGGCGUAAAGCGCGUGUAGGCGGCUCAGUCAGUCUGGUGUGAAACCUUGGGGCUCAACCCCAAGCCUGCACUGGAUACUGCUGAGCUUGAGUCCGGGAGGGGAGAGCGGAAUUCCUAGUGUAGCGGUGAAAUGCGCAGAUAUUAGGAAGAACACCGGUGGCGAAGGCGGCUCUCUGGAACGGUACUGACGCUGAGACGCGAAAGCGUGGGGAGCGAACGGG